AGAGUUUGAUCCUGGCUCAGAUUGAACGCUGGCGGCAGGCUUAACACAUGCAAGUCGAGCGGGGACUUCGGUCCUAGCGGCGAACGGGUGAGGAAUGCUUGGGAAUCUGCCUUGUAGUGGGGGAUAACGUUUCGAAAGGAACGCUAAUACCGCAUACGUCCUACGGGAGAAAGGGGGGGAUCUUCGGACCUCUCGCUAUAAGAUGAGCCCAAGUCGGAUUAGCUAGUUGGUGAGGUAAAGGCUCACCAAGGCGACGAUCCGUAGCUGGUCUGAGAGGAUGAUCAGCCACACUGGAACUGAGACACGGUCCAGACUCCUACGGGAGGCAGCAGUGGGGAAUAUUGGACAAUGGGGGAAACCCUGAUCCAGCCAUGCCGCGUGUGUGAAGAAGGCCUUCGGGUUGUAAAGCACUUUAAGCAGGGAGGAAUGGCUCUGGGAUAAUACCCUUGAGCAGUGACGUUACCUGCAGAAUAAGCACCGGCUAACUCUGUGCCAGCAGCCGCGGUAAUACAGAGGGUGCAAGCGUUAAUCGGAAUUACUGGGCGUAAAGCGCGCGUAGGCGGUUGUAUAAGUUGGGUGUGAAAUCCCCGGGCUCAACCUGGGAAUUGCACUCAAAACUGUACGGCUAGAGUGUGGGAGAGGAAGGUAGAAUUCCAGGUGUAGCGGUGAAAUGCGUAGAUAUCUGGAGGAAUACCGAUGGCGAAGGCAGCCUUCUGGCCUAACACUGACGCUGAGGUGCGAAAGCAUGGGGAGCAAACAGGAUUAGAUACCCUGGUAGUCC
rnacentral:rRNA from 1 species